rnacentral:lncRNA from 1 species
CCUUGCCUUCCACCAUGAUUGUGAGGCCUCCCCAGCCAUGUGGAAAUCAUGUUCCAGAAGGCCAGGGCGGUCGGUUCUGCUGCACAAAUGAGAUCAGAGCAAUCAAGAGAGCCAAGGAAGUCCUACUUAUCUGGAUUAAAUAACUCAAUCUACAAACUACUCAACUUUGGCAGAAGGCAAGUGAGCAAUUAAAAAUAAAUCUUUCAUGAUUUACUCCCACA